GGCGAACGGGUGAGUAACACGUGAGCAACCUGCCCCUAACUCUGGGAUAACGCUUCGAAAGGAGUGCUAAUACCGGAUAUGAGCCUGGAAGACAUCUUCUGGGUUGGAAAGUUUUUCGGUUAGGGAUGGGCUCGCGGCCUAUCAGCUUGUUGGUGAGGUAAAGGCUCACCAAGGCGACGACGGGUAUCCGGCCUGAGAGGGCGACCGGACACACUGGGACUGAGACACGGCCCAGACUCCUACGGGAGGCAGCAGUGGGGAAUAUUGCGCAAUGGGCGAAAGCCUGACGCAGCGACGCCGCGUGAGGGAUGAAGGUCUUCGGAUUGUAAACCUCUUUCAGCAGGGACGAAGCGAAAGUGACGGUACCUGAAGAAGAAGCACCGGCUAACUAC
rnacentral:rRNA from 1 species